rnacentral:rRNA from 1 species
UACAGAGGUGGCAAGCGUUGUUCGGAAUUACUGGGCGUAAAGGGUGCGUAGGCGGCGCGGUAAGUCGGGUGUGAAAUCUCGGAGCUUAACUCCGAAACUGCAUUCGAUACUGCCGUGCUUUGAGGACUGGAGAGGAGACUGGAAUUUACGGUGUAGCGGUGAAAUGCGUAGAUAUCGUAAGGAAGACCAGUGGCGAAGGCGGGUCUCUGGACAGUUCCUGACGCUGAGGCACGAAGGCCAGGGGAGCAAACGGG